rnacentral:rRNA from 1 species
GUGUCAGCAGCCGCGGGAAUACGGAGGGUGCAAGCGAUAAUCGGAAUUACUGGGCGUAAAGCGUGUGUAGGUGGUUCGUUAAGUCGGAUGUGAAAGCCCCGGGCUCAACCUGGGAACUGCAUUCGAUACUGACGGACUAGAGUUUAGCAGAGGAAAGCGGAACUCCGGGUGUAGCGGUGAAAUGCGUAGAUAUUCGGAGGAACACCAGUGGCGAAGGCGGCUUUCUGGGUUAAAACUGACACUGAGGCACGAAAGCGUGGGUAGCAAACAGGAUUAGAUACCCUGGUAGUCCACGCCCUAAACGAUGUCGACUGGCUGUCGGGUUCAUGUGGAACUUGGUAGCGAAGCUAACGCGUUAAGUCGACCGCCUGGGGAGUACGGCCGCAAGGUUGAAACUCAAAUGAAUUGACGGGG